CCUUUAGGCCUGUGUGCCUCCCCUAAUGUCUGUGCUCAUCUAUGUCAGCUGAGUGUGUGCAUUAGCAUGCCAUUCAUGUGCUGCCUUCCUGGGAGUCACAGAGGAGGAAAUGCAUCAAUCUUCUGUGGCCUGGGUCUUGUGCUCUGCAGAUCAGCAGAGCAACCUUUGUGGAGAGCCAGAUGCUGCCUGUGAGCUGAGCUUGCCAGGGGAGAAUAAAUCUCACACCUACACCACUCCAGAGAGCGCGACCAAGCCUGCAAGAAGGCAGCACCAGCACAAAACCUGAGAGAUGCAGACGCAGUCCUGAGGGUGCAAUGUCAGGGCUGCUGGUGUUUGCCUGAAGGCUGACUCAGACUGAGCUGAUGCCCAGGUGAAAGAGCUCAUGUAUCCACUUCAGGUGUUCAUCUGCCAUGGGAAAUGAUGUCCUGGGCUCAUCAGUGGUGUUUGGAGAAGACAACCUCCUUCCCAGCUGUGCACACAGCACAUCCUGGUGUUGACAGGUGCUCUGUGUAUCUCUGCUUCUGCACCACCAGAGGAAAAUCAGAUUCCCUGAUUUUCCCUGAAGACAGGGCUGGCCAAAGGCAGCAUGGAGGCCUUGACUGCACCAAAAGCAGCUUUUGUGGUGUCUCCACCCAGCUCCCAUGCAGCACCUGCACCCCUGGCAGCACUGCUUGGGGCUGCAGGCCAGUCAGGGUAAUGGCUGGGAGGAUGUGGAGAUCUCUUUGCAGCAAGCACCUGUUCUAUGUUUUAAAGUGAGCAGGCUGCCAAGGAGCAUCACUGGGAGGGGUGUGCGUGUGUGUGUGAGUGACUGG